rnacentral:tRNA from 1 species
GUGCUUCGUGGUGUAGUGGUUAUCACAUCCGCCUAACACUGCGGAAGGCCCCAGGUUCGAUCCCUGGCAGGACA